AGUGAACGCUGGUGGUAGGCCUAACACAUGCAAGUCGAACGGCAGCACAGUAAGAGCUUGCUCUUACGGGUGGCGAGUGGCGGACGGGUGAGGAAUACAUCGGAAUCUACUUUUUCGUGGGGGAUAACGUAGGGAAACUUACGCUAAUACCGCAUACGACCUACGGGUGAAAGCAGGGGAUCUUCGGACCUUGCGCGAUUGAAUGAGCGGAUGUCGGAUUAGCUAGUUGGCGGGGUAAAGGCCCACCAAGGCGACGAUCCGUAGCUGGUCUGAGAGGAUGAUCAGCCACACUGGAACUGAGACACGGUCCAGACUCCUACGGGAGGCAGCAGUGGGGAAUAUUGGACAAUGGGCGCAAGCCUGAUCCAGCCAUACCGCGUGGGUGAAGAAGGCCUUCGGGUUGUAAAGCCCUUUUGUUGGGAAAGAAAAGCAGCAGGUUAAUACCCCGCUGUUCUGACGGUACCCAAAGAAUAAGCACCGGCUAACUUCGUG
rnacentral:rRNA from 1 species